rnacentral:misc_RNA from 1 species
GCUCGUCAGCUCCCGUGCCGCUCCGGUCCCGUCUUUCCUUGAAGGUCCCGCUCUCCAGACUUCCAAAAUGUCCGACGAGGAGGAGUACAGUUCCGAGGAGGAGAUGGAUGAGGCGCAGAGGGCCGCCGAGGCACGUAGGCGUUUACAGGCAGAGGAGAAGAAGAAGAGGGCCGAGGUCGACCGAAAGAAGGCUGAGGUCCGAAAGCGCCUCGAGGAGACCUCUCUUGCCAAGAAGGCCAAGAAGGGUUUCAUGACCCCAGAGAGGAAGAAGAAACUCAGGUUACUGCUGAGAAAGAAGGCCGCUGAGGAGCUGAAGAAGGAACAGGAGAGGAAAGCAGAGGAAAGGAGGAGGAUCAUCUCCCAGAGGUGUGGUCAGAAGAAAAACACAGACGGCGCCAAUGAAGCCGACCUCGUGCAGAUUUGCCAGGCGUACCAGCAGAAAAUCGAGGAGCUCGAGGCUUCCAAGUGGGACCUUGAGCAGGAGGUGGAAGUCAAGGACGCUCAGAUCAACGAGCUUAACAUCUCGGUGAAUGACCUCCGCGGAAAAUUCAUCAAGCCCACCCUCAAGAAGAUCUCCAAAUACGAGAACAAGUUCGCCAAGCUCCAGAAGAAGGCGGCUGAGUUCAACUUCCGGAACCAGCUCAAGCAAGUCAAGAAGAAGGAGUUCACCCUUGACGACGAGGACAAGGACUCUGGCAAGCCGGCGUGGGCACCAAAGCACGAUGAGAAGAAGGUAGAGACUGCGGCGACCUAGGGCGGCCCGGUGGCGUCUCUCCCCCUGUGAAAUCGACUGGUGUCCUGUGUAGAUAGUCUGACGCUGGCAGCGCAGCGUAUGUCACACUGUCCCGCAUCCAACGCUGUUUUCCUGAGUGUUCGGUCAUUUAUUCUGCAUCCACUUAGGACGGUGUAACGCCCUUUCAUAGAAAUAAUCUGGCCAUGCCCUUCCAAUGCUGUUUGAGGUGGCAGUAGAUCCGAACGCUGAUGAUGGUAGGCUCAAGCGUUUGAUUUAGUGAUGUCAAUUACGGAAAAUUGUGAUACCGAUACCAUACCAAAUACCAACAAUAACCAUAGGAAAAUACCAAAACCGAACCGACUCUGGAAAAUGAAGGAAAUACCAACUUUUUACUAAAUUCACAGCCUUCUUUUACAUUAGUAACGAUUCACAAUACCGACAAAAUACCAAAAACAUUGGCCUUGAAAUACCAAAUACCAAGUUGGUAUAGGUUUGGUAUCGGUAUACCAAAAAGUUGGUAUUCGAUUGACAUCUCUACGAGUAGUUUGAUUGCACCAGUAGAAAGUCAAUUAGGGGCUGUGGGAGUUGUGAAAAUGGGGGGGGGGUGAUUAGAUGUUUGUUCUGAUGUCCGCAGUCUGUCCGGUUGGCCUGUAAAGAUAUACAUGGACAACCAUUGAUCAUUGGUCUAUUGAGUGGCGUUAAGUGUCACUGUUGGAUUUAGCGUGCACCAUAGGGUGAAAUCCUUAGUCCCGGCCAUGACUUAGUUAUAGCACUUAGCAGUAGUAAUAGUCACUCCUAGCUUGAUCGACCCAGACUCUAGACACAUUAGUGCCAGCCUCUGAGAAGGGCGAGGAUGGCGAGGCGAUCGACGACGCCCCUCCCGAAGACCCGGGUGAGGAGGCGCCCCCCGCCAGUGAGGAGGCGCCCCCGGCCAGUGACGACGCGCCGCCGGAGGAGGUGGCUGUCGAGUGACGCUGCCGCUGCCGCCCACCCCGCUGCUCCGCUGUCCGCCCGCCUGUCCGUCUGCCGCCGCGAGCGCCGCGCCUCUCGCUCGCACGGUGCCGGGCCGCUGCAGCCGGGCACCGCGGCUCCGGCGGCCCGGCCGGCCGGCGCCGACGCGCGCGCGGCCACUCCAAUUGUCACACAUUUGUCGUCUGUGGGUACGUUUUCCAAGCGUGCGAGACGCUUGGCCACAGAGGUAGCGGCCGUUUCGCUUCGCUACGCUUCGUGAAUAGUGGCGGUGCUUUAUUUUGCCCGAAAGGCAAAGACAAUAAAAGGAAUCCUGUUUAUA